rnacentral:tRNA from 1 species
UCUCUGGUGGCUCAGACAGUAAAGCAUCUGCCUACAAUGCAGGAGACCCAGGUUUGAUCCCUGGGUUGGGAA